GGAAAUCCCGCGCGGCGGAAGGAUACCCUCUCCUCAAGCAUACACAGUGGAGCAGCGGCGCGGUGGGAGUGACGGGAUUCAUUCGACUGUCAGCAACCGUUCAGGGUGUUGGAUAAAACAAUAAGCAGAUAAGCUUUGUGAAUUGCUGUUAUAAAGGGGAAGCUAAAAAGGUCAAAGAGAUGUUUGACAGUCCAAAAACAACUAACUGUCCAGCCAGAUGGUGUGAUGGUGCUGGUCCCUGUCUGAGUUCAUGCCUGUAUUCAAUGUUCCUGUUCUGAAUGCCUUUAUUUUUAUAUGAGAUGUAAGAGGCGUGUCACACUUACAUGAGCUUUGAAUUUUUAAUGCGUCUCACAGUCUGUUUGACACAGAAUUAUUUUAUAUGUAUGUGUAUGUAUGUAUAUUUUUAUUAAACUAAACAUUUUAUUUGUGUUGCUGAAAUGUAGCCUUCAACUGUCCUUCAUAUAAUGAGGUGGAUGGGGAUAACGAGAACAAGACAAAAUGGACCCAGUUUAGUGAGAUGGUGGUGGUUACUCUUGAACAGAAUGCCAUCAGCAGCCUUCAACAAACGAAAUACCAGACCUUUUUUCCUCUGACCAGACUCUGAUAAAGACACGUCAGAAAUCUCCAAGAAUAGGACACAUGUUCUUCUUACCAAAGCAGAAUAUGUAUAGAUUUUUUUUCUUGUGAAAUAUUGCUUUCCUUAUGAAUCUGGAAGGAAAUGGCUACGCAAGUUACUUUACAGACUUACAUUUUAUGUGAAAAGACCUUACAAGUUCAUGGUACCAGUUCCUCAAACACAAAUUCAAAGUGGAGCUGCACCUCUGGUUCUCAAUGAGCAAGGAGAAUGAUGCUGUCUCAAGAAACCCCAGGAUCCUGUCCCAGAUCUAUGUUAGGUGAACUUGUUGCCAUUGAAGAUGCAUCCUCCUGUGAAUGCCUUGGAUAUUCAGUGUAAUGUGUAUUCAGUGAUGUGAUCAGAUACCUUGCUUGUCAAAGCCAUAUGAUGUCUGUGUGGUAAGCUUUUGAAUUCAGUGUCUUAUGCUUUACAUUUCCACGUGUUGAAACUGAAUAGAGUAUAAUUAAACCAGGAGUUGGACUUUCAGGCCCUUGACACAUGCUCUGUUGUUGAUAAAUUGUGAUUCUCACGAAUGCUUGAAUUGUAUAUUUAAAAUGAAACAUGCAGUACUAAUUUUGGAAAAAGUGAAAUUGCCCAAUUUAUGUGAUAAAAUGUUAAUGGUAUGAAUGUUACAGUAAAAAUAAUUCAUAUUCAAGUUUAUUUGUAUUCACGAUGCAAAUCGUUUCAAAGCAGCUUUACACCGUGUCCUAACUACACGCGACGUCACACCGCGACGCGACAGAAUCAGUCAAAUAUCUUAGCCAAUCAGAAGCGUAUGUGGGCGGCCUCUCUCUGAAAGCGCACUACUCUUGCAAUGAAAUGGAUACAUUUAUAAUCUAAUUCAUAAAUUUUAAAGCUUUUUAACAUCAUUAAAUAUACAUACUGAGUGACUGAUAACAUCUUUGUUAUGGAGUACACUCGUUGGUUCGCAGUGAGUUCACAGUUUUAACGGUCAUCUUUUGAUUUAAUUUAUUUUUCAAGAUCUGAGGUAAACUAUCUGUUGUUGCUUUCAGUAUGGGUCACGCAAUAUGAUAUUAAACUCAUAUUAGACACGUUUAACUUUGAAUAAAGCAUAUAAUCACCUGACAUUAUCUACUGUUUUUCUGCGACAUCGCGGAAAUAGAAUAGUUUCUAAAUUAGAAAUUUUGCGUGUCGCUGUCGUGGCUAGUUAGGACAAAAACUCUGAUUAACAUGGAAAAGAUACCUUUUAUCGCGUGUCGCGGCGUCAUGUGUAGUUAGGACACGGUGUUAGAGAAAAUUUAAGUUUCUACAUUUUAUAUUUAGUAAUAGCUUAUUACUAUUACAGUGGUGACUAUCUCAAGUUGAUGUCCAUAUGGCAGAAAUGUAUGGUAAAAACUAACUAUGGCAGUUAGUUAAUGUCAUGUAAUCAAACAGACGGUGAACACUAUUAACAGCAAUGAUUAAAUGUUGUGAUCAAACAUAGCAAAAUUUAAAAAAUAAUACUGUUUUUGGAAAUUACUCAAUAUGAAUCCUACUAUAUUGAUACGAUAUUUAACGCUCAUUCUAUAAAUAUUGUGCACAAAAAUGAAUGCUGGGAUAUUUCCCUUUUUCAAUUUUUUUUUUUUUUUACAAUGUUGAACUGUAAUUUAUUAUCAUCCAUAGUGUUUUUAACCUCUGAUUUACGUGUACUGUACUUUAGUCCUUUCUAUUCAGGGGAUACAAAACCCAGUUUACAUUUGUAUUUUUGAA